rnacentral:rRNA from 1 species
UACGGGGGGGGCAAGCGUUGUUCGGAAUUACUGGGCGUAAAGGGCUCGUAGGCGGCCAACUAAGUCAGACGUGAAAUCCCUCGGCUCAACCGGGGAACUGCGUCUGAUACUGGAUGGCUUGAAUCCGGGAGAGGGAUGCGGAAUUCCAGGUGUAGCGGUGAAAUGCGUAGAUAUCUGGAGGAACACCGGUGGCGAAGGCGGCAUCCUGGACCGGUAUUGACGCUGAGGAGCGAAAGCCAGGGGAGCGAACAGG